UCGGUCACUGCACAUCUGUUAUUCAGUUCACUCACAGACAGCAAACCAAGGGGUUGUGCUGUCUCCUUGUCUCCCAGGGAUAAACCCACAUGACAGUUUACAAAAACAGGUAAUCAUAAGAAGCAAAUGGCCCAGAUGAAACACAGCAAAAGAAUGAGAAGUGGUAACACUGGGAGUGAAAUUUGAACCAAGCGUAAAUGGAGUGAUCGUAGAAAUAGCUGACUGUGGAAUGUGGACACUCUCUGUAUCUGCAGCCUGGGAAGCUUAAAGAAGGUGAACUUACUGACACCAGUUAGAAAGUGACUGUGAUGAAACGAUGAAGAUGCUCCAGAGGAAGUGACACCAGCAAUAGGAAAAAAAAAACAAACCUCUCACUGAAGGAACUCUCGGAGAUAUUUCAUGACACAGAAGGCACAAAGGAUACAAUAUUGGCAACUAAUCGAAACUUAGAAAUGAUAUGACAGCUCACCAAGGCAUAGAAAAAGAUGCUUGCUCUAUCAUAAGUUAUAGAAUGAGAAGAAGCAGUAUAUCAGAAAACUCAAAUAUAACUCCACAACUUUUUCAAGAGUUUCUUUUUGUUUUCCAAUGGUAACGGGAGAGAAAAUAAGCUGUCAUUAUCGGAAUGAUCAAACACAGAGAGAAAAGAGGCAGAGGUGAGAAGAUGGAGAAGAUGAAUACAUUUGCUUUCAGCAAACCAAUGGAAGUCCAUUUGCAUGAUCUGAAAAGGAAAAUGAGAAGCUAAUUUUUCUAUACAAGGCAGAAUUUAAGAAAUACAAUUCCUAAGGACUCCAGUGGAUACAGCUCUGGUUCCUGGACUUCGUGUUUUGGCUUGGUCUUUCUGCUUUUUCAAUUUUGUCACUGGUAAGACUGGCCCCACCUCACCCAUGAGGAGCACAUUUUCAAGGUUAAAAUGCUGAGUUAAUUAGAGAAAGUGGUGUUAUUAACUGAAUGGCAAUAGAGAAGCAGCAGCAAUUGAGGGAAAGGAGAUGAUAAGUUGUUUUGGGGCAUGGUGAAUUUGAGAUAUCUUGCAGAACAUUCAGAUCAAGGUUCUUAUGACCCCUGAAGUUGUCACGUGUUAACCAGAAAACAGAUCUGCCAGGUGCGGUGGUUCACACCUGUAAUCCCAACACAUUGGGAGGUCGAGGCGGGAAGAUCACUUGAGGCCAGAAGUUCAAGACCAGCCUGGCCAACAUGGCAAAACCUUGUCUCUACUAAAAAUGCAAAAAAUUAGCCUGGUGUGGUGGCAGGUGCCUGUAAUCCCAGCUACUUGGGAGGCUGAGGCAUGAUAAUCAUUUGAACCUGGGAGGCAAAGGUUGCAGUGAGCCAAGAUUGCACCACUGCUCUCCAGCCUGGGCAACAGAGUAAGAGUCUGCCU
rnacentral:lncRNA from 10 species